GAUGAAGAACGCAGCGAAAUGCGAUACUUGGUGUGAAUUGCAGAAUUCAGUGAAUCAUCGAAUCUUUGAACGCACAUUGCGCCCCUUGGUAUCCCGAGGGGCAUGCCUGUUCGAGCGUCAUUUCACCACUCAAGCCUGGCUUGGUGUUGGGCGACGUCCCCUUUGGGGACGCGCCUCGAAACGCUCGGCGGCGUGGCACCGGCUUUAAGCGUAGCAGAAUCUUUCGCUUUGGAAGUCGGGGCCCCGUCUGCCGGAAGACCUACUCGCAAGGUUGACCUCGGAUCAGGCAGGGAUACCCGCUGAACUUAAGCAUAUCAAUAAGCGGAGGA
rnacentral:misc_RNA from 1 species